rnacentral:lncRNA from 1 species
UGCACAAUCAUGUAAGCUCUUUCAUCUCAACACCCCCCUUAAGUUGGAGGGGGAAACCACCUGCAACUUGGACAACAGCGGAAGAAGCACAGUGCCAGGCAAUGGCUUAGUGAGCAGGUCGGCCAGUAGACGAGAAGUAGGAACAUGAAGCUGUUCGAGAAAUAACUUGGAUAACAGCGGAAGAAGCACAGUGCCAGGUAAUGGUUUAGUGAGCAGAUCGGCCAGUUGACGAGAAGUAGGAACAUGGAGCAGCUUGAGAAAACCAGUUUGUAGCAAGUCCCGAACAAAAUGGUAGUCCACCUCGAUAUGUUUGGUACGUUCAUGAAAAACAGGAUUGUUAGCAAUAUGGACAGCAGCCUGACUAUCACAAUAUAC